CCACUCACUCUUUCACCAGAAGAAACAGAGAGACCCAUAUACUACAACACCAAUUCUCCAAUAUCUACAAUGACAUUGGCAUCUUCAUUUCCCACUCCUCAAGUUCAUGCCUACUACGGUAACACCGCCACCAGCAACCACCACCAUCACCACCACAACCACCUUCAAGUUAAAAGAAAACCCCACAAAACCCUUCACUUUCUCUUUAUUCCAACCUCCUCCUCUUCCCUAUUCUCCUUUUCUUCUUCUUUCACCUUCACUCCCUCCAACCCAAUCCAAUCCCACCCCAACCACCACCUCCUAUUGGACUCAACCAACGACAAUUUCUUCGUCGAAGACCUCAAUUCCACCGUGGACAACAACAACAAAAACGACGAGGCGUUCCCGAAGAACAGGAUCUUCAUCCAGGAACCGCCGUGGAUUUCGUCCCUCUUCCUGAAGGGUUGGCUCGACAUGGAGUUGAGGGAGAUGGAGAAGGCGAAGUACAAUUCGCUGCGGCGGAGGCAGAUAGAGGCGGAGACGGAGGCGUGGGAGAGGAUGGUGGAGGAGUACAAGGAGCUCGAGAGGGAGAUGCGGCAGAAGAAGUUGGCUCCCAAUUUGCCUCACGUUAAGGCCCUCCUCUUGGGGUGGUUCGAGCCGCUCAAGGACGCCGUCGAAGCCGAGCAGAAGGCGCACCGGGCGCGGUCCAAGAAGCAGCAGUCCUCCAUUGCCCCCCACAUUGAUUCCUUGCCGGCGGCAAAGAUUGCGGUUAUCGUGAUGCAUAAGAUGAUGGGCCUGGUGAUGGAGAAUGAGGCAGGUUGUGUUCAGCUUGUUCAGGCUGCUGUUCAGAUUGGCAUGGCUAUGGAACAAGAGGUUAGGAUGCAUGAGUUCGUUGAAAGAAAUAAAAGUCUCCGGAGUAAGAAGACAGAGGCUGGUGCCGAGGACAGUUCAAAUGAUGAUAACGAAAAACAAAGGAAAUAUGUAAAUGGUUUGAUCAAAAGAAAAAGAAUGAAAGAGGUGCAGCUGGCAUUGAGAAAAGAAGAAAUUAGUCCUUGGAGCCGUGCUACCCAGGUCAAGCUGGGUAGUCGAUUAAUAGAAUUAUUAAUUGAAACAGCAUACAUUCACUCUCCGGUUAACCAGUCUGCUGAUACUCCACCUGAUAUUCGACCGGCUUUCAGUCAUGGCUUUAAAGCUUUAUCAAGGAAUCCAGGGCAAAAGAUUUUGAAGAAUUAUGGCGUUAUACAAUGUGAUCCCUUAAUCCUAGUUGGGCUUGAAAAAUGUGCUAAGCAUAUGUUAAUGCCUUACAUGCCAAUGUUAAUACCUCCUAAAAAGUGGAAAGGGCAUGACAAGGGCGGGCACUUGUUCUUACCAUCUUAUAUCAUGCGUACUCAUGGAUCUAGGAAGCAACAAGAUGUAAUGAAGAAUGUCAAAGGGGAACAAAUGCAAAAAGUUUUUGAGGCCUUGGAUGUUCUUGGCAGUACCAAAUGGCGAAUAAAUAGAAAAUUAUUUAGAGUUGUGGAGUCUAUCUGGGCUGAAGGAGGUAACAUCGCAGGACUGGUUGAUUGUAAAGAUGUUCCUAUACCGGAUAAGCCGCUAGUAGAGGAUUCAAAACAAAUUCAGGAGUGGAAAUGCAGAGUAAGGAAGGCAAAAAAAAUUAAUCUAGAGAGGCAUUCUCAAAGAUGUGACACCGAAUUGAAGCUUUCUGUGGCACGAAAAAUGAAAGAUGAGGAAUGCUUUUAUUAUCCGCACAAUCUUGACUUUCGUGGCAGAGCAUAUCCUAUGCAUCCUCAUUUGAAUCAUUUAGGUUCUGAUCUAUGUCGAGGACUACUUGAAUUUGCUGAAGGGCGACCAUUGGGAAAGUCUGGACUACGAUGGCUGAAGAUACAUUUAGCAAAUUUGUAUGGUGGUGGUAUUGAAAAGCUGUCUUAUGAUGGACGCCUAGGAUUUGUGGAGAAUCAUAUCCAUGAUAUAUUUGACUCUGCUGAUAACCCUUCUAAUGGAAAUCGUUGGUGGUUAACGGCUGAGGAUCCUUUCCAGUGCCUUGCUGCUUGUAUUAAUCUAUCAGAAGCCUUAAGAAGCUCAUCACCAAAUUCUGUUAUCUCGCAUCUCCCAAUCCAUCAGGAUGGUUCCUGCAAUGGCUUACAGCACUAUGCAGCUUUGGGAAGAAAUAAUCUGGAGGCUGCUGCAGUUAACUUGGUUGCCAAAGAGAAACCCGCUGAUGUUUACUCCGAGAUUGCGGUUAAGGUUUAUGAUAUAAUGAGAAAAGACAGCAACAAAGACCCAGAUACUUAUCCUAACGCUCUGUUAGCGAAGGUGUUAAUUGAUCAGAUUGAUAGGAAACUGGUCAAACAGACAGUGAUGACUUCUGUUUAUGGUGUUACUUUUAUUGGGGCACGAGAGCAAAUCAAGAAAAGAUUACAGGAGAAAGGCCUCAUUACUGAUGAUAGACUUUUAUUUACUGCAGCUUGCUAUGCUGCUAAGGUGACAUUGGCUGCCCUUGGAGAAGUAUUUGAAGCUGCGCGUGGCAUUAUGGGUUGGCUUGGUGAUUGUGCAAAGGUGAUUGCUUAUGAAAACCAGGCUGUUUGUUGGACCACUCCUCUUGGUCUUCCUGUUAUACAACCAUACUGUAAAGCUGAACGUCAUCUGAUCAGAACAUCUCUUCAGAUUUUGGCUUUGCAGAGGGAGGGUAGUGAAGUAUCUGUGAAGAAACAGAGAAGUGCAUUUCCUCCUAAUUUUGUUCAUUCACUGGAUAGUUCACACAUGAUGAUGACUGCUCUAGCCUGCAGUGAUGCUGGGCUACGUUUUGCAGGGGUUCAUGACUCAUUUUGGACACACGCAUGUGACGUUGAGAAAAUGAAUCAGAUUCUUAGAGAAAAAUUUGUGGAGCUGUAUAACAUGCCUAUACUUGAAAAUCUGCUGGAGGGCUUCCAGACUACAUAUCCAGGAUUGGCUUUCCCUUCACUGCCAAAGAGAGGUGAUUUUGAUUUACGGCAGGUUCUUGAUUCUCCAUACUUCUUUAACUGAGCAUUUCUCUUCAAUCAGCAAUUAUAAGUUUCCAUGGAAGCAUUCUUUACUUCUAAUGCAAAAUCAAGGACAAAUUUCUGGGGCAUAAUUCGUCCUGUUUUAGAAGUUGAGAUUCGAACCAUUAAUGACCCAACAUUGCUUCUGGAAAAGGCCUGGAAAGAAAAUAGGUUCUGAUGAUUUUUUUUUUGAAGAAAUCAUGUUGCAAGAAUGCUCAGAAUUUUACUGAGUAGGUGAUCUAAUUAACACAAGGGUGGUUCAAGAGAAGAAAAGCUUUUCUCACCCGUCAAAUUGAUAAUCAACAUUCAGGGAAGGAAAUUCUCCAUGAAAUUUUAAUGUUGGUGAUUUCCAAUGCCUGAAUUGAGUUACUGCUGAGCAAUAGACGUGGCCAGUGCUAAAUGCUUGCAGCAGAUCCUCUGUACAGUGCGGAAACUUCGGCCAGAGCUAAUCUUGUUUUAUGGAUGCAGAAAGUACUGAAACAACUGAAGGAAAACUUUUAUAAAGAUUGCCCUAGCGCAAAUAUCCCCGAUCAGUUUGUGGACAACAUAUCUUGUCUUUUUGCUGUCAGAGCUUCUUGUUGUGGUAAAAGGGGUGUGAUACGUUCAUUUAACAAACAUAGGUCUUUUAAAGUGGCAGGAAAGAGCAAUGCAUAUGGUUUUCGAUGCCUUGUCUGAGUUAAAGUGGGGAAAGACCAAGGCAUUUGGAUUCCCCACUUCGCCGGCAACAAUUUGGUUUGGCUAUUCACUGAAGGAAAGUCAUAAGCGUGGACAAAUUUGUGCUCCCUGAUACUUGUUUUGUGUACUAGUGCCAAAACUGUAGUUCGAUCAACACGCCCAAGAGUUAUGAUUGUGGUUAAAUCUGCCCAAAAUGCAGAUUUUAGUUUCUGACGUCCAAAUGGUUGCUGUGAGAAUCUUUGUAGACUCGAGAGUAAUUGUUGCGAUCCGUUUCCCGGGCAAAAACAAUGGUAGCCUCUUUAUAUAUUCUUUGUAAAACAUAGAUAACGAUGGUGGUCAGGACUCCAACUUCUGAAGUGGGGUUAAUUUAUCAGUUUAUACUAUAUUAUACCAUGAUCAUGGCUCUUUCUUUUAAAAUCAUGGCUCUUUCUUUAAAAGA